AGAGUUUGAUCAUGGCUCAGGACGAACGCUUGCGGCGUGCCUAAGAAAUGCAAGUCGAACGGAAGGGGUAACCCUUUAGUGGCGAACGGUCGCGUAACACGUAAGAAACCUGCCCAAGAGUGGGGGACAACAGUCCGAAAGGGCUGCUAAUACCGCAUAGGCACAUUUGGUGGCAUCACCGAUUGUGUAAAGCUUGAUGCGCUUUUGGAUGGUCUUGCGGCCUAUCAGGUAGAUGGUGAGGUAAUGGCUUACCAUGCCGACGACGGGUAGCUGGUCUGAGAGGACGAUCAGCCGGAUUGGGACUGAGAUACGGCCCAGACUCCUACGGGGGGCAGCAAUUAGGAAUCUUGCGCAAUGGACGAAAGUCUGACGCAGCGACGCCGCGUGAGGGAUGACGGCCUUCGGGUUGUAAACCUCUUUUGCCGAGGAAGAAGCAAGUGACGGUACUCGGUGAAUAAGCCCCGGCUAACUAC
rnacentral:rRNA from 1 species